CUCGCUUGCAAAAGUCGGACUGGAAUUGAACGAGUGUGGAUUCUGGUAGCGGUGACGGUCGGAACAUUGCAGAAAAAUGGAGAAUGAAAGGGGAGAAGGAGACUUGGUUGUGAAACCACAAAAGACAGGAAGUCAUACAAGGAAAGAGAUUAGCGAAGAAGAUUUGGGACACCGAGAUGACUGAGGAGAGGCAAAAGGACUACAUUGAGAUGUGACGUAUGGCAAAGGUAAAGGUGGUGAAGGCUAAACGAGCCAUCUGACGACAUGUACACCAGGUUGGACACAAAUGAAGGAGAAAAUGAUCUCUAUAUGUUGACCAGACUGAGGAAUAGAGAUGUGAAGGAUGUGCAGCAGGUGUCCAUGUAAAUGCUGCAUACCCAUGGAAACAACAAAAGAAAGUUUUUGUUGACAUGAGAGUCAACAUAUUCACCAGAAUAUGGCAGAUUAUCCAGAUCAUUCGCUGCAGUGCAUGGCAGAGCACCCAGGAUUUAAUGGAAGGUGUCUGAACCCAUGGGUACCUGAGGUUGCCUAUUUCCAGUUCAGGCAACACUGUCAGCAGCGACUGGAUUUUACACAACAUGAGUAAAAGCUCUUUUAAAAAACAAUAAAAAUAACAUUUCUCCUAAUCAGCCCAUCUUUUUCCCAUUUACAUCAAGAUUUUUCUAAAUAAAUAAUAUUUUUUAUUACUAUUGUUCCUGCUAAAAGCAGCAUUUGUCCAAUCAAUGCUUGUUCAAACAAAGCCCCAUUCUGCAAAAUUGUCAUAUGAGUAUAUUUUCUGAUUUUCAGGUUAAUGCGACAUGCUGCUUAUUGACAGCUUGAAAUUGUGUUGGGCAAUUGUAGGCAGAAAUAACCACGUGCCAUUUCCAUACUGCUGUGUCAAAGAUUUGAGACAGAUGGCCAAGAGUACAUCGGAUUUAAAUGGUCUACAUCCUACAUAUUUUUAUUUUUUCUUUGUGUAAAUGUUGAUCU